rnacentral:rRNA from 1 species
GACGAACGCUGGCGGCGUGCUUAACACAUGCAAGUCGAACGGUGAAGGGACUGGUUUUGCUGGUCCUGGAUGAGUGGCGAACGGGUGAGUAACACGUGAGUAACCUGCCCCCUUCUUCUGGAUAACCGCACGAAAGUGUGGCUAAUACGGGAUAUUCUGGGUCUGUCGCAUGGUGGGCCUGGGAAAGAUUGCGCCUUUUUUGGUGUUUUUGGUGGGGGAUGGGCUCGCGGCCUAUCAGCUUGUUGGUGGGGUGAUGGCCUACCAAGGCGGUGACGGGUAGCCGGCCUGAGAGGGUGGACGGUCACACUGGGACUGAGACACGGCCCAGACUCCGACGGGAGGCAGCAGUGGGGAAUAUGGCACAAUGGGCGCAAGCCUGAUGCAGCGACGCCGCGUGAGGGAUGGAGGCCUUCGGGUUGUGAACCUCUUUCGCAAGUGAAGCAGGCCUGCCUCUUUUUGUGGGUGGGUUGACGGUAGCUGGAUAAGAAGCGCCGGCUAACUACGUG